AUUAUGGCUCAGAACGAACGCUGGCGGCGUGCCUAACACAUGCAAGUCGUACGCGAAAGGGGCUUCGGCCCUGAGUAAAGUGGCGCACGGGUGAGUAACACGUGGAUAAUCUGCCCGAUGAUCGGGGAUAACAUUCCGAAAGGAAUGCUAAUACCGGAUAAGCCCACGUGCCCUUCGGGGCAUGCGGGAAAAGGUGGGGACCUUCGGGCCUGCCGUCAUCGGAUGAGUCCGCGUCCCAUUAGCUAGUUGGUGGGGUAAUGGCCUACCAAGGCGACGAUGGGUAGCUGGUCUGAGAGGAUGAUCAGCCACACUGGAACUGAGACACGGUCCAGACUCCUACGGGAGGCAGCAGUGGGGAAUUUUGCGCAAUGGGCGAGAGCCUGACGCAGCAACGCCGCGUGAGUGAUGAAGGCCUUCGGGUCGUAAAGCUCUGUCAGAGGGAAAGAGCAACCUGUCGGUUAAUACCCGGCGGGCCUGACGGUACCCUCAAAGGAAGCACCGGCUAACUCCGUGCCAGCCGCAGC
rnacentral:rRNA from 1 species